rnacentral:rRNA from 1 species
UACGAGGGAUGCAAGCGUUAUCCGGAAUUAUUGGGCGUAAAGCGUCCGCAGGUGGCUCUGUAAGUCUGUCGUUAAAGCGUGGAGCUCAACUCCAUAUCGGCGAUGGAAACUACAAGACUAGAGUUUGGUAGGGGUCACGGGAAUUCCUAGUGUAGCGGUGAAAUGCGUAGAUAUUAGGAAGAACACCAGCGGCGAAAGCGCGUGACUGGGCCAAUACUGACACUCAUGGACGAAAGCCAGGGGAGCGAAAGGG